CGAAAAUCAUUUCAGCCCUUUUGUUCACCAAACGCUCGCUGACCCUCUACCUCCCAUCAGAUCAGGUCUGAGCUGAUCUAGAUCUUCCAUCGCUGACCUAUAGCCGCCGAGCUCCUUCCCUGACCACUUCACCAUCUCCGCCGCCUCCAUCUCCGGCCUCUACAUCGCCAUUAAGAACAGCCUCGAUGUCGAACCCACAAGCCCUCCAUCUCCGCCUCCAUUGCGCUGACCCUCUUCCUUCAAAACAAAAACAUAAACCCAUCGCCGCCACAACCACCAUCAGAGCCGAACCCACAAGCCCAAACCUCUUCCUCUUCCUCUUCUCCAGAUGGGUUUGUGAUCGAAGAGACAAAUGGGUCAUUGAACCAACCGACAGUGGUGGUUGAAGAAAAGAAGCUGAAUCGGACGGCUGAGCUCGCUACUUCGACUGGUGGAGCUUUGGCACUCGCUGUGCUUUGUAACAAAGCUCACUCACUCUAAACUCUCUCUCUCUCUCUCUCUCUCUCUAAAACCCUCCCUAAACCCUAGCGUCCUCCUCUCUCUCUCUCUUGCUUCCAUGGAGUUUUGGGGUUUUUGGGUAGCCAUUGCAGGCGAGCCAGCCUGUGGUGUCUACUUCUAGAGUUUCCUCCAUUGCAGAGAAAGAGGAAAAUGUAGUAGGCUAGCAUGGGAGAUGAUGCUAAAAGGGCAGAAGUGUUGGUCACCAAAGGAAAAAAAGCCCUUUCUUUAGAGAAAUUCAGUUAUUAAAGGAAAGAAAAUGAGUAGGGAAAUCGUGAACUUUUGAUGCUGUGAACAGGAGGUUGCUGAAAUAUCUGGUAGGAAGGAGGAAAAGGGUGAAGCAAUUGAUGAGGACUGAACCUGGUCUCAAAGUCCAGCAACUAGACAUUCUGCAACAAGCAUUAAAGCUCACUGCAAAUAGAAUAUUAAGAUUGAUAGUAUGGUUCAUAGGGCUACUAAGUGGGGUAGAGCAGUACACACUGAUUCCACUCAGGUAAAUCUAUGCUUAAGUUUCCAUUGCAUCUUUUAAUAUAAUUUUUAUGUUAUCAAAAAGAAAAAAAAAGUUUCCAUUGCAUCUAAAAUUUUUGAAUUUUAUAUUUGAACUCAAUUGUCACAAGAAGCCAAGAAAAGUGUUAUUUAAGCUUGGUCUAUGACAAAAUGGAGUAACGUACUAACAUUUUGAGCUUAUGACUGUUUGUGGGUUUGUAUAGCUAUGAAUUUUUAUCAGUGACGAAAUCUCAAUUAUAUGUAAGGGUAUAUAGUCAAAUUUCGGUGUCUAUUUUGAAUGCUAAUUUAGACCACAAGGAGUUAAAUCCUUUUCUACAUUGUUAAAUCCUUUUCACUGGAAACAAGUUCCAUUUAUAAGAAAAUAAUAAUAACAAUUUCUAAUUCUGCUAUGUUCUCAAUCUCAACCAUCUCAAACAAACAUGGAGCCAACUUUGGUAAAUCUAUACUUGUGAGUUUCCUUUGCAUUUAAAAUUUUUUAGUUAUGAAUUUUUAUCAGUAACAAAGUCUCAAUUAUAUGCGAGGGUUUAUAAUUAGAUUUCAGUGUCUAUUUCAAAUGGUUUAGACCACAAGGAGUGAAAAAUCCUAUUCUAUAAUUAACUUCACAUUUCUUUUGUGGAGUUAAUUUAGUUUGUCAAAUUCGAUUUCUCUAUAUUAUUAACAGGUUCCAUUUAUCAAAAAUAAGAAAAUAAUAAUAAUGAGUUCUAAUUCUACUACUUUUUUUUUUUUUUUGGUUAAAUGCAAAAUAUUGAGCAACUUGUUAAAUGUAGACUAGAGCAAGUUGUGAUAGGGCUUUUCAAUUUCAACAUUCUCAAACAUAUACUGAGCCAACUUAUCAGGUAAAUUUAUACUUUUGAGUUUAUUUUGCCUUUAAGAUUCUAAACUUUAUAUUUGACCUCAUUGUCAAACCAAGCUCUUACAGGGCAUGGAAGUGUCACUUGAGCUUGGUCUAUGAAAAAAUGGAUCAACACAUAGAACCUUACUAACAUUUUAAGCUUAUGAUGACCGUGUGUGUGGGCUUGUAUAGCUAUGAAUUUAAAUUAAUAACGAAGUCUCAAUUAUAUGUGAGGGCUUUUAAUCAUAUUUCAAUCUAGUCCAAGACUCCUUCAUCACCCAUAGCUGAAUACAUAAAAUUUUUGCUUGAUUAACCGAUGCACAUAGAUAGACACAGGUGUUCUCCAAAAGUCCCUAACUUCCAUAACUCUGACGUACUGUAAUAUUUUUCUGAUGAUUCAUCUCUAGUGUAAUAAGAAACAGAUUUUGGCCAUGGCAGCUCAUGAAAUAUCUCAUCUGCUAAAUCAAAAUAAACGAUUGACGGCUUCAUAUAAUGGUUAGCACUCCAAUAAAUUGCCCCAUUGCAUUAUAUAGUCUUUUUGCUAAAUGGAAUGCUGCAGUUAAAAAUAUUGUCCUCAUCCACCAGAAUUGUCCUCCAAGUACAGGUCUUGAGUGAAAAGAUCUCGAUCUGCAAUAUAUCAAUAUCGAAAGUCUGAUAGGGCCUUAAUGUCUUGUGAACAUCAGUGGAAUAAUCAUGGCAAAAGCCAAAACGGUGAAACCGACAAGAAAAUGAAUCAGGUGUUGAUGUUGGACUUGGUAUGUUUUUGUAACUUUUGGUAGAUGGGUUCCAAACCAAAUAUUGGGAUGUACAUAUGUGCACAUUAUAUAAUUCAAUACAUAACAAGCCAUUGCAAGAA